ensembl:lncRNA
GCCUGCUAUGUGUCAUACAAUCAUCACUCAAUGUCUAUAUGUGGCUACAAGUCGAUGAGAAUUCCAACAAAUCAAAAAACAGUUCAACUUGCAAUUUUACCUCAGUGUCAGCUGAUGACAUCAGAGGAGUGCUUUUAGAGAGAGACCAACUUCUUCGAGAGAAAGAGCAGCUGAAUCAAUUUAUAGAUCAGCUGCUGCAGACUAAAGACAAACUGCUUGAAGAGAACAGUCAACUGAAUCAAGAGAACAGUCAAUUGAAUCAACAUAAAGAUCAGCUCAUUCAAGAGAAAGACAAGCUGCUUGAAGAGAACAGUCAACUGAAUCAAGAGAACAGUCAACUGAAUCAAGAGAACAGUCAAUUGAAUCAACAUAAAGAUCAGUUCAUUCAAGAGAAAGACAAGCUGCUUGAAGAGAACAGUCAAAUGAAUCAACAUAUUGAUCAGCUCAUUCAAGAGAAAGACAAACUGCUUGAAGAAAACAGCAGACUGAAUCAAGCGCUACCAAACCUUCCAAGAUGUUCCCCGGGAUGGAAAAGAUUAAGGUCAAGCUGCUACCGCCUUUCCUCUUUUAAAUCCACCUGGGAGGAUGCCAAACAAAACUGCGAGAGGCUUGGAGCUCAUUUGGUGAUUAUCAGUGAUGAUGCAG